AGCCCCCUGCAAUAGCCCAUUUAUUUUGCAGCGUACAGAUAAAAGCCCCCUGCAAUAAAAAAAUUUCGCUGCAAAGCUAAUUAAGAAAAACAUUUCAUCUCAAACCUAAGGACCAUUUCCACGCUCAGUACUCCCUCUUCUUCCCUCAGCUUUCCCUGCGUACUCUCUCACCUCCUCAUUCUUCUUCUUCUUCAUCUGCUCUCUUUCUCUCUCUAAUUCGUGGUUUUUUUGGGUUUUUUGCAAGUAAUUGUUGAAAUUGGGUGACAAUUCGUCUUGGUUUUUGUGAAAAUUUGCUCGACUCCUUCUCUCCAAGCAUCUGGCCUUCGACCUCAGCCUUCGAACUCAGCCGCCGUCGAACUCAGCCGUCGAACUCAGCAACUCAGGCGUUGCUCGGCCCUGCGUCGCUGUCUUCGCCGAUGGGUCUGUGUUCUCGCCUCAUCUCCCCCUAAUUUCGUAUUUUUAGGGUUUGCUUUCAGUCAAUUCUUGAUUUUUCCCCUAAUUUCGUAUUUUUAGGGUUUGAUUAUAUAAAUUAUUCUUAUUUUUUGUGUUAAUUGAUACAUUUUUUCCGAUUUUGAUUGUUAGGGUUUUAUUUUUUUCCGAUUUUUUUCCGAUUUUGAAUGUCAACCCUAAAGUGGAUAAUAUUUGGUACCCUAUGAAUUACUAUAUCACUUUGAUGAUUUUCUAUUUAGUAUAUGCUUUUACUAUGGUUCUGCUUUAUUUGUGUUUUGUUUAUGUAUCUGUUUCUAUUCUUACUGGCACGAUAUAUAGCUGGUUAGUUUCCUGUUAGUGUGUAAGAAUUAAUUGAGUUAUUAGACCGUCUUGAGUUCGAACUGUUUGGAUAGGAACUGAGACACCGGCCAAUAGUGUGCUCUAAGUAGUGAAAUAUCUGUUAGAUGUUGGUGUGUAUUUUUCUAGUGAAUUUUGUUGACUUUGAUUUUCUUGAUUUGGUAAAUACUAUCAGUCAAGUGCUAGGACGGUGAGGAAAGAUAAGCCACGUGGGCGUCAUCAUGGUCUCACUCAACAGAAGAGGCAAGAGAUAAAGGAAGCUUUUGAACUGUUUGACACUGAUGGCUCAGGAACUAUUGAUGCUAAGGAGUUGAAUGUUGCUAUGAGGGCUCUGGGUUUUGAGAUGACCGAAGAGGUAUAAAAUCUGUCAUUUUGUUGGUUUUUUGUUGAUUACGAUUGAAAUAUUUCUUCUCUGAAUACUUGCAAAAAGAUAACCUAUGUUCCUUCCACUAUUCUUUUUCUUCUCUGGGUUCUAAGACACUCAGACAAGGGUGUGGCCUCCUUAACUGACACUUCAAUAUUUACCCAGAGUCUCAUAAUACCUCAACGGCUCAACCAUCUCG